GUCUCCGAGGGAAGCACAUAUAUUAAAAUCGAAACAAUACAAUGAAGAUUAGCAUGGCCCCUGUGCAAGAGUGACACAUCAGAGAUGAUGAAAAAAGUUCU
rnacentral:snRNA from 1 species